rnacentral:rRNA from 1 species
CGUGUAGGCGGUCGGUCAAGUCCGAUGUGAAAGCCCGGGGCUUACCUCCGGAAGUGCAUCGGAAACUAGCCGGCUGGAGCGCGAUAGAGGAGGGUAGAAUUCCUGGUGUAGCGGUGAAAUGCGUAGAUAUCAGGAGGAAUACCGGCGGCGAAGGCGGCCCUCUGGAUCGUUGCUGACGCUGAGACGCGAAAGCGUGGGGAGCGAACAGGAUUAGAUACCCUGGUAGUCCACGCUGUAAACGAUGGGUACUAGGUGUUCGGGGUAUUGACCCCCUGAGUGCCGCAGCUAACGCAUUAAGUACCCCGCCUGGGGACUACGGCCGCAAGGUUAAA